rnacentral:rRNA from 1 species
AUACGUAGGGAGCGAGCGUUGUCCGGAAUUACUGGGCGUAAAGGGAGCGUAGGCGGGAGUGCAAGUCAGUUGUGAAAUACAUGGGCUCAACCCAUGGGCUGCAUUUGAAACUGCAUUUCUUGAGUGAAGUAGAGGUAAGCGGAAUUCCUGGUGUAGCGGUGAAAUGCGUAGAUAUCAGGAGGAACACCGGUGGCGAAGGCGGCUUACUGGGCUUUUACUGACGCUGAGGCUCGAAAGCGUGGGGAGCAAACAGGAUUAGAUACCCUGGUAGUCCACGCUGUAAACGAUGAUUACUAGGUGUGGGGGGACUGACCCCUUCCGUGCCGCAGUUAACACAAUAAGUAAUCCGCCUGGGGAGUACGGCCGCAAGGUUGAAACUCAAAUGAAUUGACGGGG